rnacentral:rRNA from 1 species
CCUACGGGAGGCAGCAGUGGGGAAUAUUGCACAAUGGGCGCAAGCCUGAUGCAGCUAUGCCGCGUGUGUGAAGAAGGCCUUCGGGUUGUAAAGCACUUUCAGCGGGGAGGAAGGCGGUGAGGUUCAUAACCUCAUCGAUUGACGUUACCCGCAGAAGAAGCACCGGCUAACUCCGUGCCAGCAGCCGCGGUAAUACGGAGGGUGCAAGCGUUAAUCGGAAUUACUGGGCGUAAAGCGCACGCAGGCGGUCUGUCAAGUCGGAUGUGAAAUCCCCGGGCUCAACCUGGGAACUGCAUUCGAAACUGGCAGGCUAGAGUCUUGUAGAGGGGGGUAGAAUUCCAGGUGUAGCGGUGAAAUGCGUAGAGAUCUGGAGGAAUACCGGUGGCGAAGGCGGCCCCCUGGACAAAGACUGACGCUCAGGUGCGAAAGCGUGGGGAGCAAACAGGAUAGAUACCCGUGUAGUC